rnacentral:rRNA from 1 species
UCAGGAUGAACGCUAGCGGGAGGCUUAACACAUGCAAGUCGAGGGGCAGCAUAGAGUAGCAAUACUUUGAUGGCGACCGGCGCACGGGUGAGUAACGCGUAUGCAACCUACCCUGUACUGGGGGAUAGCCCGGAGAAAUUCGGAUUAAUACCCCAUAAUUAUAUUGAAAGGCAUCUUUUAAUAUUUAAAGUUUCGACGGUACGGGAUGGGCAUGCGUGACAUUAGCUAGUUGGUAGGGUAACGGCCUACCAAGGCUACGAUGUCUAGGGGUCCUGAGAGGGUGAUCCCCCACACUGGUACUGAGACACGGACCAGACUCCUACGGGAGGCAGCAGUGAGGAAUAUUGGUCAAUGGGCGCAAGCCUGAACCAGCCAUCCCGCGUGCAGGAAGAAGGCGCUAUGCGUCGUAAACUGCUUUUCCAGGGGAAGAAAACCUGAUACGUGUAUCGGCUUGCCGGUACCCUGGGAAUAAGCAUCGGCUAACUCCGUGCCAGCAGCCGCGGUAAUACGGAGGAUGCGAGCGUUAUCCGGAUUUAUUGGGUUUAAAGGGUGCGUAGGCGGAUUAAUAAGUCAGUGGUGAAAACCUUCAGCUUAACCGGAGACUUGCCAUUGAUACUGUUAGUCUUGAGUACGGUCAAGGUAGGCGGAAUGUGUAAUGUAGCGGUGAAAUGCUUAGAUAUUACACAGAACACCGAUUGCGAAGGCAGCUUACUGGGCCAUUACUGACGCUGAUGCACGAAAGCGUGGGGAGCGAACAGGAUUAGAUACCCUGGUAGUCCACGCCGUAAACGAUGAUCACUCGCUGUUGGCGAUACACAGUCAGCGGCUAAGCAAAAGCAUUAAGUGAUCCACCUGGGGAGUACGGCCGCAAGGCUGAA